ACUACGGGAGGCAGCAGUGAGGAAUAUUGGUCAAUGGGCGCAAGCCUGAACCAGCCAAGUCGCGUGAGGGAAGACGGCCCUACGGGUUGUAAACCUCUUUUGCCGGGGAGCAAGCCUGAGCACGUGUGCCCAGGCGGAGAGUACCCGGGGAAAAGGCAUCGGGUAACUCCGGCCCAGCAGCCGCGGUAAUCCGGGGGAUGCGAGGGUUAUCCGGAUUUAUUGGGUUUAAAGGGUGCGAAGUGGGGCGGUUAAGCCGGCGGUAAAAAUUCGGGGGUCAACCCUGUAGUGCCGUCGAAACUGGCAGUCUUGAGUGGGCGAGAGGUAUGCGGAAUGCGUGGUGUAGCGGUGAAAUGCAUAGAUAUCACGCAGAACGCCGAUUGCGAAGGCAGCAUACCGGCGCCCAACUGACGCUGAGGCACGAAAGCGUGGGGAUCGAACAGGAUUAGAUACCCGUGUAGUC
rnacentral:rRNA from 1 species